rnacentral:rRNA from 1 species
AUAUUGGCGAGAGACCGAUAGCGAACAAGUACCGUGAGGGAAAGAUGAAAAGCACUUUGGAAAGAGAGUUAAACAGUACGUGAAAUUGUUGAAAGGGAAACGCUUGAAGUCAGUCGCGUUGGCAGAGACUCAGCCUUGCUUUGCAUGGUGUACUUCUCAGUUAACGGGUCAACAUCAAUUUCAGUUGGUGGAUAAAGGCAUUGGGGAUGUGGCACCUUCGGGUGUGUUAUAGACCUUUGUUGCAUACACUGACCGGGAUUGAGGAACGCAGCACGCCACUACGGCCAGGGAUUUGUCCCAUGUAACGUGCUUAGGAUGUUGGCAUAAUGGCUUUAAGCGACCCGUCUUGAAACACGGACC